GACGAACGCUGGCGGCGUGCUUAACACAUGCAAGUCGAACGGAAAGGCCCUGCUUUUGUGGGGUGCUCGAGUGGCGAACGGGUGAGUAACACGUGAGUAACCUGCCCUUGACCUUGGGAUAACUUCAGGACACUGGGGCUAAUACCGGAUAGGAGCUACUGCUGCAUGGUGGGGGCUGGAAAGUUUCGGCGGUUGGGGAUGGACUCGCGGACCAACAGCUUGUUGGUGGGGUAGUGGCUUACCAAGGCUUUGCCGGGUAGCAGGCCUGAGAGGGUGACCGGCCACAUUGGGACUGAGAUACGGCCCAGACUCCUACGGGAGGCAGCAGUGGGGAAUAUUGCACAAUGGGCGGAAGCCUGAUGCAGCAACGCCGCGUGCGGGAUGACGGCCUUCGGGUUGUAAACCGCUUUCGCCUGUGACGAAGCGUGAGUGACGGUAAUGGGUAAAGAAGCACCGGCUAACUACGUG
rnacentral:rRNA from 1 species